rnacentral:rRNA from 1 species
GACAGAGGUGCCGAGCGUUAGGCGGAAUCACUGGGCUUAAAGCGCGUGUAGGUGGCGGCCUAAGUACCUUGUGAAAUCCUGCGGCUCAACCGCAGAACUGCUUGGUAUACUGGGUCGCUUGAGACAUUCAGGGGCAACUGGAACAAGCGGUGGAGCGGUGAAAUGCGUAGAUAUCGCUUGGAACGCCAAAGGUGAAAACAGGUUGCUGGGGAUGUUCUGACACUGAGACGCGAAAGCCAGGGGGAGCAAACAGG